UCCUGGCUCAGGAUGAACGCUGGCGGCGUGCUUAACACAUGCAAGUCGAACGAAGAUGCCGGAGUGCUUGCACUUUGGUAGACUGAGUGGCGGACGGGUGAGUAACGCGUGGGUAACCUGCCUUAUACAGGGGGAUAACAGUUGGAAACGACUGCUAAUACCGCAUAAGCGCACGGUAUCGCAUGAUACAGUGUGAAAAACUCCGGUGGUAUAAGAUGGACCCGCGUCUGAUUAGCUUGUUGGUGAGGUAACGGCCCACCAAGGCGACGAUCAGUAGCCGGCCUGAGAGGGUGAACGGCCACAUUGGGACUGAGACACGGCCCAAACUCCUACGGGAGGCAGCAGUGGGGAAUAUUGCACAAUGGGGGAAACCCUGAUGCAGCGACGCCGCGUGAGCGAAGAAGUAUUUCGGUAUGUAAAGCUCUAUCAGCAGGGAAGAAAAUGACGGUACCUGACUAAGAAGCACCGGCUAAAUACGUGCCAGCAGCCGCGGUAAUACGUAUGGUGCAAGCGUUAUCCGGAUUUACUGGGUGUAAAGGGUGCGUAGGUGGUAUGGCAAGUCAGAAGUGAAAGGCUGGGGCUCAACCCCGGGACUGCUUUUGAAACUGUCAAACUAGAGUACAGGAGAGGAAAGCGGAAUUCCUAGUGUAGCGGUGAAAUGCGUAGAUAUUAGGAGGAACACCAGUGGCGAAGGCGGCUUUCUGGACUGUAACUGACGCUGAGGCACGAAAGCGUGGGGAGCAAACAGGAUUAGAUACCCUGGUAGUCCACGCCGUAAACG
rnacentral:rRNA from 1 species